rnacentral:rRNA from 1 species
CCUACGGGAGGCAGCAGUGAGGAAUAUUGGUCAAUGGGCGAGAGCCUGAACCAGCCACGUCGCGUGAGGGAGUACUGCCCUAUGGGUUGUAACCCUCUUUUGUCGGGGCGCAAAAGCCGGACGUGUCCGGCUGUGAGAGUACCCGAAGCAUACGCAUCGGCUAACUCCGUGCUAGCAGCCGCGGUAAUACGGAGGAUGCGAGGGUUAUCCGGAUUUAUUGGGUUAAAGGGAGGCGCAGGCGGAUGUUUAAGUCAGCGGUCAAAUCGUGGGGCUCAACCCCAUCCAGCCGUUGAAACUGGGGAUCUAGAGUGUGCGAGAGGUAUGCGGAAUGCGUGGUGUAGCGGUGAAAUGCGUAGAUAUCAGGAAGAACCCCGAUGGCGAAGGCAGCAUGCCGGUGCACAACUGACGCUCAGGCACGAAAGCGUGGGUAGCGAACAGGAUUAGAUACCCGGGUAGUC